UACGUAGGGUGCAAGCGUUGUCCGGAAUUAUUGGGCGUAAAGAGCUCGUAGGCGGUCUGUCGCGUCUGCUGUGAAAACUCGGGGCUUAACCCCGGGCCUGCAGUGGGUACGGGCAGACUAGAGUGCGGUAGGGGAGACUGGAAUUCCUGGUGUAGCGGUGAAAUGCGCAGAUAUCAGGAGGAACACCGGUGACGAAGGCGGGUCUCUGGGCCGUAACUGACGCUGAGGAGCGAAAGCAUGGGGAGCGAACAGG
rnacentral:rRNA from 1 species